UACGAAGGGUGCAAACGUUGCUCGGAAUCAUUGGGCGUAAAGCGCACGUAGGCGGCUUGCCAAGUCGGACGUGAAAUCCCUCAGCUCAACUGAGGACGUGCAUCCGAAACUGGCGAGCUUGAGUACUGAAGAGGAUCGCGGAAUUCCCGGUGUAGAGGUGAAAUUCGUAGAUAUCAGGAGGAACACCGAUGGCGAAGGCAGGUCUCUGGGCCGAAACUGACGCUGAGGAGCGAAAGCGUGGGGAGCAAACAGG
rnacentral:rRNA from 1 species